rnacentral:lncRNA from 1 species
CCGGGAGAUGCCAUUGCGGAGAUGGGGGAGGCCUGAAAUGGUACGGACCUCCCUGGGAACUAUUACCGGGGAGAAGGGAUGCAGAGUUGGUGAUAAUACAUUCCUCUACCGGUAAGUAUCACUAGGGAGAAGGGGAGAACGUGUGAAGGUGGUAGUCCUCUCAAGAAAAUAACAGUAGGGAGAUAGAUACUAUUAAGCUAGCUGUGGCGAAGGCACAGGUUGGUACAGUCCGCCUUGGGAGAUACCACUGGUGCAAAUAGGGAGGUGUGGUACAAUCUGUUCUUGGAGAAAGAAACGAAGAAAGUGAAGUUGGUAAAUAUAGGCGCAGGGAGACUUGGAGACAGACGACCAGGGAUAAAGGGGUCCGGGUGAGGUGGAAUCUUAGUCGGAGACUAGGACUCAAAAGGAGGUGGCUAUCCUCUUGAAUCCAAGCCAGGGGACCCAUGCUGGGCUUGCUCACAGCUGCUUCUCGCCAGAACGCGGCCAAGAGGAGGAGAGCAAAAGGCGGAGAGGACCCCGGAGAAGAGGACUGGCGCCCUCUAGAGGAUGAGGAAGCUCAAUACCACCAUGACAGAGGAAAUUGAC